rnacentral:rRNA from 1 species
AUGUCUUCUGAGCCUCUACCCGCCUCCACAGAGGCUCUCGAGGCAGAUCUCUCCGCCGCUACGAUCAGCAAGAAGCAGCUUAACAAGGAGGCCCGGAAGGCCGCAAAGGCAGCGAAGGCAGAAAACGCAGGGAAGGCCGAAAAGUCUCAGGCGGAAGAAGAAGACGACCCCUUUGCGGUCAACUACGGUGACGUUCCACUCGAGGAGAUCCAGUCCAAGGUCAUCUCCGGCCGGUCCUGGACGGACAUCGGCGACCUCGAUGAGGCCGCCGUGGGCCGCUCCGUCCUGAUCCGCGGAUAUGCGGAGAAGUUCCGCCCGGUCUGCAAGAAGAUCGCUUUCGUCGUGCUUCGCCAGAGCAUGACCACCGUGCAGUGUGUGCUCGUCGCUAGCGCCGACACCGGCGUCAGCACGCAGAUGGUGCGCUUUGCCACCUCCCUCAGCAAGGAGAGCAUCGUUGACGUCGAGGGCGUCGUCUCCCUACCCAAGGACCCCCUCAAGGCUACAACGCAGCAGGUGGAGAUUCAGGUCAGGAAGGUCUACUGCAUUAGCAGGGCAAUCCCUACACUUCCAAUCAACCUCGAGGAUGCAGCCCGUAGUGAAGCAGAAUUUGACCUGGCUGAGCGGACAGGAGAGAAGCUGGCGCGUGUUCACCAGGAGUCACGGUUGAACUAUCGAGUUAUCGAUCUGCGGACACCCACAAGUCAAUCUGUCUUCCGUAUCAAAUUCGAAGUUGAAAAUGCAUUCAGACAAUAUUUGUCCUCAAAGGGCUUUAUUGGGAUCCACACUCCCAGGUUGAUUUCUGGAUCAAGUGAAGGUGGUGCAGCCGUAUUCAAGCUACAGUACUAUGGCCAGGAUGCUUGUUUAGCUCAAUCUCCUCAGUUAUACAAGCAGAUGAGUCUCUGUGGUGGGUUCGGUCGUGUGUUUGAGGUUGGUCCCAUAUUUUGA